rnacentral:rRNA from 1 species
GACGAACGCUGGCGGCGUGCUUAACACAUGCAAGUCGAACGGAAAGGCCCUGCUUUUGUGGGGUGCUCGAGUGGCGAACGGGUGAGUAACACGUGAGUAACCUGCCCUUGACUUUGGGAUAACUUCAGGAAACUGGGGCUAAUACCGGAUAGGAUCUCCUGCUGCAUGGUGGGGGUUGGAAAGUUUCGGCGGUUGGGGAUGGACUCGCGGCUUAUCAGCUUGUUGGUGGGGUAGUGGCUUACCAAGGCUUUGACGGGUAGCCGGCCUGUGAGGGUGACCGGCGACAUGGGGACUGAGAUACGGACCAGACUGCUACGGGAGGCAGCAGUGGGGAAUAUUGCACAAUGGGCGGAAGCCUGAUGCAGCAACGCCGCGUUCGGGAUGACGGCCUUCGGGUUGUAAACCGCUUUCGCCUGUGACGAAGCGUGAGUGACGGUAAUGGGUAAAGAAGCACCGGCUAACUACGUG